CCGAGGAGUAGCAAGGGGAAGGAACUUGUCCAAGGCUGCACGGCUAAAGUAGCAAGCUGGAAUUUGAACCCAGGCAGUCUGGCUGCAGGCUGCAUGUGCCUGAUCACUUUGCUAUAUUUCCUGUCCAGGUGAAACGGUGCAAGAGAUGCUGCGAGCAACAGGGAGCAAGCCAGAGAGGCCGAUGGAGGAAAAGUCAGAGACAAAGAGAUGUUGCUGCCAAAUCCCUUUCAUCUCCAGCAGAGAGAGAGAGAGUCUGAAACUCCACGAUGAGGAACUGAGACCCAGAGAGUGAAAGUCACUGGACCCUGGGCACACAGAGUCAAAAUGCACUGUCUAUUCUGCCAGGCCUUUGGUCCAGCUGGACUGAUGGGAAAAGGUGCAGGGGAGGAAGGCCUCAGGCGUCGUUUGGAGAAGUUUAAAAUGGAUGCUGUGGCCAGUGGAGAGAGAUCAGUCUAAGCUCUGAAUCGAACACUCUGGUGAUUUCUGCAAAAGGUGGAUGGAAGGAGUCGAGGCUGGAGGCAGGGAUCAUGAGGGAGGCAGCUUCCACAGGCAUUUUUUUUUUUUGCAACUUUUUAAAUUUAUUUUUCUAAUUGAUGCAUAACAAUUGUACUUAUGGGGUACAGAGUGAUAUUUCGAUACAUACAAUGUAUAGUAAUCAGAUCCGGGUAAUUAGCAUAUUCAUUAUCUCAAACAUGUAUUAUCUCUUUGUGUUGGGAACAUUUGAUAUCCUCCUUCUAGCUAUUGGAAACUGUACGUUAUUGUUAACUAUAGUCAUCCUACAGUGCUAUAGAGCACUAGAACUUACUCUACCGCCUAGCUGUAAUUUUGUGUCCUUGAAAAAAUCUCUCCCUAUCCUUCCUCCCCACUCCUCUUCCCAGCCUCCAAUAACCUCUGUUCUGCUUUUUACUUCUAUGAGAUCAACUUUCUUUUAGCUUCCGCAUAUGAGUGAGAAUGUUCGGUGUUUAACUUUCUGUUCCUAGCUUAUCUUAUCUAACAUAAUGUCCUCCAGUUCCACCCAAGUUGCUGCAUAUGGAAGGACUUCCUUCUUUUUUAUGGCUGAAUAAUAUUCCAUUGUGUAUAUGUACCACACUUUCUUUACCCACCCAUCUGUUGUUGGGCACUUGGGUUGAUUCCAUAUCUUGGCUAUUGUGAAUAGUGCUGCAAUAAACAUGAAGGUGCAGAUAUCUCUUUGAUA
rnacentral:lncRNA from 1 species